CCGACCUUAGCUCAGUUGGUAGAGCGGAGGACUGUAGUAUUCGCAGAUAAAUCCUUAGGUCGCUGGUUCGAAUCCGGCAGGUCGGA
rfam:Triticum urartu cultivar G1812 contig571778, whole genome shotgun sequence.